rnacentral:rRNA from 1 species
AUGAACGCUGGCGGCGUGCCUAAUACAUGCAAGUCGAGCGAACGGACGAGAAGCUUGCUUCUCUGAUGUUAGCGGCGGACGGGUGAGUAACACGUGGAUAACCUACCUAUAAGACUGGGAUAACUUCGGGAAACCGGAGCUAAUACCGGAUAAUAUUUUGAACCGCAUGGUUCAAAAGUGAAAGACGGUCUUGCUGUCACUUAUAGAUGGAUCCGCGCUGCAUUAGCUAGUUGGUAAGGUAACGGCUUACCAAGGCAACGAUGCAUAGCCGACCUGAGAGGGUGAUCGGCCACACUGGAACUGAGACACGGUCCAGACUCCUACGGGAGGCAGCAGUAGGGAAUCUUCCGCAAUGGGCGAAAGCCUGACGGAGCAACGCCGCGUGAGUGAUGAAGGUCUUCGGAUCGUAAAACUCUGUUAUUAGGGAAGAACAUAUGUGUAAGUAACUGUGCACAUCUUGACGGUACCUAAUCAGAAAGCCACGGCUAACUACGUGCCAGCAGCCGCGGUAAUACGUAGGUGGCAAGCGUUAUCCGGAAUUAUUGGGCGUAAAGCGCGCGUAGGCGGUUUUUUAAGUCUGAUGUGAAAGCCCACGGCUCAACCGUGGAGGGUCAUUG